AUGUCCACCGCCUGCCAGCCACAGCCUCCCACAAGUCACCUCACCUGUCCCUGCCUCCUGUGUCACCCGGGAGGAGGAGCAGAGGGCAUGGAGCCGCCCAGAACUGUCCUGAGGCCACACAGAGAGGGUCAAGACCGGUCACCCUGGGAGGGUGGCACAGACGCAGGAGUCGCUGGACCGAGCUCAGGUGCCGGCUUUUGGACCCCACUGCUGGGACAUGAGGACCGCUCACAGGCUGCCCAGGGUAGAGCAAGGCCCCCGCUCCUGCCCAGAGCCCAGGACAUAUCCCAAGGGCUGGCGCCAUCAGGAGGAGAGAAGAGCUCUCUCAGGUCACGGACAAAAAGCUGUGUGGCCUCGGCCACUGGUUUCCAUGAUGCUCCGCAAACACCAGGAGUCCCAGGAGGACACAACCGGAAACAAGCGGAGGGUUACAAGUCUGACCAAAGGACAAGGGAGGAAUUAUUCUCAGCAGAGUCUGGGCCAGGCCGGAAGGAGAGAGCCAGACAUCUCCAGGUAGAGCGGCUUCCUGCUGUUCCCGGGCAAAUCAAAGCGCAGCGCCGCUCCACCCCGCAGCCCCCUGCGGCGCCUGACCCAGCCCUUUCAAGUGCAGCGGCCACGGGCCGGCAAAGCACACAACCGGAACCCGCCGCGCAAGGCAAAGGCUUGGAAUGAAACCGUCUCGCGAUGACAAUGCUUGUUCUUCUUUAAACUCGGCUCGAGAACAAAUGGCUUUUUUUUUUCUCUCCAGUGGAAAGACUGGACUGUGGCUUUCAUCCGUAGAGGCCUUGAUUUGGGGGGACCUCUCUUCUCACCCCCGGGGUGGGGAGAAACGGAGGUCUGCAGUCUGCCCCAGCUGGAAGGCCCAGGGCCUGGGCCUGGGGCUGCUCGGGCUCAGGGCCUGGGGGAGGGUUCGCUUUUAUCCUGCAGCACAGAAUAGGCAGUGCGCUGGGGUAAGCAUGCCAUCCUGGAGGGAACCUCCCUGCUCCCGCCCCUCAACCUGCUCUCCUGGAGGGCCCCUUGGGUCGGAGGGCGGGGAGCAGGCUCAGCGGAAGGCGGCAUGAGAGGCAGCCGAGGCCUGGGAUGACUCAGGAUAACGCCCGAGGGCUCGGGGUCAGAAGCUGCUGACCGCUGGGCUGUGAAGAAGCCGUCACACCUGGCCGAGGUGGCGCAGUAGACUUGAAACAGGGGAAGGUGGACAGGCCAGGUGGGCACUGCCUCGCUUCCCUCUGUCCAGCCCUGAGCCCACCCCCAGUCCACUCCCCAGGGAACCUUCUGCCGUGAAAGUCACCCCAGCUGGGGGAGCAGGAAGACCCCGGGGUGGGGGGACGGGAGGUUCCCCGGGGGGAGCCCUGCAGACGGCCCAGCCCAGCCAUUCCUCUGAGGGUCUGGUCUCUGGGCUGCAGCGCCUCCGGCCUCCAGCUGUGGGCUCUGUGCAGAGCGGACCCCCUCCCCCUGCCUGUGUCCUGGCUGUCCGGAGGGCAGGGGCCCCAGCACACUGGGCCUCGGCCCCCCAGGCUGGAACAGCCCAGCCCAGCUCCCAAGCCGCGUGCCCUGGCCACCCCCUAGACUGGUCCCCUGUGGGGAGAGAGGUUCUCCCAGCUGGGCCAUCAGCCAUUCUGUUCAAGUGCAGAGACGAAGGAGGCAGGGAGGGGUCAGGGAGGGAGAGCUGGAC
ensembl:lncRNA